rnacentral:rRNA from 1 species
AUUGAACGCUGGCGGCAUGCCUUACACAUGCAAGUCGAACGGUAACGGGCCUUCGGGUGCCGACGAGUGGCGAACGGGUGCGCAAUGCAUCGGAACGUACCUUUCAGUGGGGGAUAACGUAGCGAAAGUUACGCUAAUACCGCAUAUUCUGUGAGCAGGAAAGCAGGGGAUCGCAAGACCUUGCGCUGAUUGAGCGGCCGAUGUCAGAUUAGCUAGUUGGUGAGGUAAAGGCGCACCAAGGCGACGAUCUGUAGCGGGUCUGAGAGGAUGAUCCGCCACACUGGAACUGAGACACGGUCCAGACUCCUACGGGAGGCAGCAGUGGGGAAUUUUGGACAAUGGGGGCAACCCUGAUCCAGCCAUGCCGCGUGAGUGAAGAAGGCCUUCGGGUUGUAAAGCUCUUUCGGUCGGGAAGAAAUCGCAUGGGUUAAUACCCUGUGCGGAUGACGGUACCGGCAUAAGAAGCACCGGCUAACUACGUGCCAGCAGCCGCCGUAAUAC